rnacentral:rRNA from 1 species
GACGGACGCUGGCGGCGUGCCUAAUACAUGCAAGUAGAACGCUGAAGAGAGGAGCUUGCUCUUCUUGGAUGAGUUGCGAACGGGUGAGUAACGCGUAGGUAACCUGCCUUGUAGCGGGGGAUAACUAUUGGAAACGAUAGCUAAUACCGCAUAACAAUGGAUGACACAUGUCAUUUAUUUGAAAGGGGCAAUUGCUCCACUACAAGAUGGACCUGCGUUGUAUUAGCUAGUAGGUGAGGUAAUGGCUCACCUAGGCGACGAUACAUAGCCGACCUGAGAGGGUGAUCGGCCACACUGGGGCUGAGACACGGCCCAGACUCCUACGGGAGGCAGCAGUAGGGAAUCUUCGGCAAUGGGGGCAACCCUGACCGAGCAACGCCGCGUGAGUGAAGAAGGUUUUCGGAUCGUAAAGCUCUGUUGUAAGUCAAGAACGGGUGUGAGAGUGGAAAGUUCACACUGUGACGGUAGCUUACCAGAAAGGGACGGCUAACUACGUG